GGAGUCCUUGCCAGAGCCAUCAGAGACAGCAGGCGAAAGCAGGCUCACUGAAUCCAUAUUGUGUUUCCUCUCUCGGUUCUCCUGGGUUCCACUGUCAGUUCUCCAAACGUGGAAAAAAACUGCUCCAUUUCUUUCUGUAGCAUGUCAUUUCUUUUCUCGGCAUCUUCUUUUGCUCGCUCGGCAUUUCGCAUUUUUAUUUCUAUCAUUGUGAACUUUUUCCUCUCCUGAUCCAGUUCAUCAUGGAGGCUCAUCAUUUCUGUUUCCAAAGUCAAGUUUCGCUGUUCUAAGCUACAAAGGAUGUUGGGGGGGGUGGGGGGUGGGGACGCAAGAGUAAGAGAUAAAGUGAUUUUAUUCACUUGAAAUGCAAGAGACAUACAAAUAUUUUCUAAACUCUUUAUGAUGCUUAGGAAAUUGGAAUAAAGCCCUUUCAAUGAUUUAAA
rnacentral:lncRNA from 1 species